AGGACGAACGCUGGCGGCGUGCCUAAUACAUGCAAGUCGAGCGGACUUAAAAAGCUUGCUUUUUAAGUUAGCGGCGGACGGGUGAGUAACACGUGGGCAACCUGCCUGUAAGACUGGGAUAACUUCGGGAAACCGGAGCUAAUACCGGAUAAUCCUUUUCUACUCAUGUAGAAAAGCUGAAAGACGGUUUACGCUGUCACUUACAGAUGGGCCCGCGGCGCAUUAGCUAGUUGGUGAGGUAACGGCUCACCAAGGCGACGAUGCGUAGCCGACCUGAGAGGGUGAUCGGCCACACUGGGACUGAGACACGGCCCAGACUCCUACGGGAGGCAGCAGUAGGGAAUCUUCCGCAAUGGACGAAAGUCUGACGGAGCAACGCCGCGUGAGUGAUGAAGGUUUUCGGAUCGUAAAACUCUGUUGUUAGGGAAGAACAAGUACGAGAGUAACUGCUCGUACCUUGACGGUACCUAACCAGAAAGCCACGGCUAACUACGUGCCAGCAGCCGCGGUAAUACGUAGGUGGCAAGCGUUGUCCGGAAUUAUUGGGCGUAAAGCGCGCGCAGGCGGUCCUUUAAGUCUGAUGUGAAAGCCCACGGCUCAACCGUGGAGGGUCAUUGGAAACUGGGGGACUUGAGUGCAGAAGAGAAGAGUGGAAUUCCACGUGUAGCGGUGAAAUGCGUAGAGAUGUGGAGGAACACCAGUGGCGAAGGCGACUCUUUGGUCUGUAACUGACGCUGAGGCGCGAAAGCGUGGGGAGCAAACAGGAUUAGAUACCCUGGUAGUCCACGCCGUAAACGAUGAGUGCUAAGUGUUAGAGGGUUUCCGCCCUUUAGUGCUGCAGCAAACGC
rnacentral:rRNA from 1 species